CCUACGGGUGGCAGCAGUGGGGAAUAUUGGACAAUGGGCGAAAGCCUGAUCCAGCCAUGCCGCGUGUGUGAAGAAGGCCUUCGGGUUGUAAAGCACUUUCAGUGGGGAAGAAAGCCUUGGGGCUAAUACCCUCGAGGAAGGACAUCACCCACAGAAGAAGCACCGGCUAACUCCGUGCCAGCAGCCGCGGUAAUACGGAGGGUGCGAGCGUUAAUCGGAAUUACUGGGCGUAAAGCGCGCGUAGGCGGUCUGAUAAGCCGGUUGUGAAAGCCCCGGGCUCAACCUGGGAACGGCAUCCGGAACUGUCAGGCUAGAGUGCAGGAGAGGAAGGUAGAAUCCCCGGUGUAGCGGUGAAAUGCGUAGAGAUCGGGAGGAAUACCAGUGGCGAAGGCGGCCUUCUGGACUGACACUGACGCUGAGGUGCGAAAGCGUGGGUAGCAAACAGGAUUAGAUACCCCUGUAGUC
rnacentral:rRNA from 1 species